GCGGCCGUGACCCUGCAGGAGUGCGGGGGGGACCUCUCGCCCCCCGGGGGCUCCCUGCGCCUCCUCUGCCGAGGGUCCAGGUUCAGUUUCAGCAGUUUUGAAAUGGAAUGGGCUCGCCAGAGGCCCGGGCAGGGGCUGGAGUGGGUCACGGUGAUCAGGAACGAUGGUGCUGACACCUACUACGCGCCAUCAUUCAAGGGCCGGUUCACGAUCUCCAGGGACAACGGGCAGAGCUCGGUGAUGCUGACCAUGAACAACCUCAAGGACAAGUAUUCCGUCGUUUAUUUCUGUGCCAAACGUGCUUAUGGUGAUUAUUGGGCUUAUGCUGAUGCUUAUCAGUUUUUCCCCAUCCCCGUGCCCUUGCUCCCCUCCUGUCCCCAUUCCCCAGGCCCCUCCCCCAAACCCCAAGCCCUGACCCCGUUCCUGUCUCCUUGUCCCAACCCUGAUAAGACCCAGAUAUCUGAUUUGGGCUGA